GGGGGGGGGCGAGCGUUGUUCGGGAAUUACUGGGCGUAAAGGGCGCGUAGGCGGUAUUGGAAGUCAUGGGGGUGAAAGUCCUCGGGCUCAACCGAGGGGAUUGCCUGUGAAACCACGGUACUGGAGUGCUGGAGAGGGAAGUGGAAUUCCCAGUGUAGCGGUGAAAUGCGUAGAUAUUGGGAGGAACAUCUGUGGCGAAGGCGGCUUCCUGGACAGACACUGACGCUGAGGCGCGAAAGCCAGGGGAGCGAACGGGAUUAGAUACCCCGGUAGUCCUGGCUGUAAACGAUGAACACUUGGUGUAGGGGGUGAUGAAAGUCCCUCUGUGCCGUAGAGAACUCGAUAAGUGUUCCGCCUGGGGAGUACGGCCGCAAAGGCUGA
rnacentral:rRNA from 1 species